rnacentral:tRNA from 1 species
CGACUUUAUUGAUGAAGGUGUUCCACGCCGACUGGAAAUCCGCGGCCGCGGUGGUCCACGGCAGAGUUCCGUUGAUCAAUCCGGUGAAGAUCGUCCA